GUCUAUGGCCAUGCUACCCUGAACAAGCCCAAUCCCAUCUGAUCUCGGCAGCUAAGCAGGGUCGGGCCUGGUUAAUACUUGGAUGGGAAACCACCUAGGAAGACCAGGUACUGUAGGUG
rfam:Pteropus alecto contig97510, whole genome shotgun sequence.